UACGUAGGUGGCAAGCGUUGUCCGGAUUUACUGGGCGUAAAGAGCGCGCAGGCGGUCGUUCAAGUCGCGUGUGAAAGCCCCCGGCUCAACUGGGGAGGGUCACGCGAUACUGAUCGACUCGAAGGCAGGAGAGGGAAGUGGAAUUCCCGGUGUAGUGGUGAAAUGCGUAGAUAUCGGGAGGAACACCAGUGGCGAAGGCGAGUCUCUGGGCCGAUACUGACGCUGAGGAGCGAAAGCGUGGGGAGCGAACAGG
rnacentral:rRNA from 1 species